rnacentral:rRNA from 1 species
CCUACGGGCGGCUGCAGUAGGGAAUAUUGCUCAAUGGGGGAAACCCUGAAGCAGCAACGCCGCGUGGGGGAUGAAGGUUUUCGGAUUGUAAACUCCUUUUGUUAGAGAAGAUAAUGACGGUAUCUAACGAAUAAGCACCGGACAACUCCGUGCCAGCAGGCGCGGUAAUACGGCGGGUGCAAGCGUUACUCGGAAUCACUGGGCGUAAAGAGCGCGUAGGCGGGUUAGCAAGUCAGAUGUGAAAUCCUAUGGCUUAACCAUAGAACUGCAGUUGAAACUGUUCUUCUAGAGUAUGGGAGAGGUAGGUGGAAUUCUUGGUGUAGGGGUAAAAUCCGUAGAGAUCAAGAGGAAUACUCAUUGCGAAGGCGACCUGCCAGAACAUAACUGACGCUGAGGCGCGAAAGCGUGGGUAGCAAACAGGAUUAGAUACCCCAGUAGUC